rnacentral:lncRNA from 1 species
GGCCGCCGAAAGUGCCGCCGAAGGUGCUCUGUUUUGCCUUCCUUUGCAUGAAUUGUCAUGCAUGUUUAUGAGGCUUUAGAAGGGUUUUGGGAAGGUGUUUUAGAGUUCUGCUAGAGAUGUUUAACACCUCAUAAGAGUCCUUGUGUGUAGGAUUUGAGCAGAGAAGAGGUGUUUAGCUACAGUACAAAGUUGGCCCAAGUAGUAGAGCAGAGGCUUCAGGUGAG